AUGAACGACCUCUUUUGGAAUUGUAGAGGAACAGGUAAAAGAGGGAGAGCUACCUGCUUCUCUGACAUCAUUAGAGACCACUCCCUCGACUUUAUAGGAAUCCUAGAAAUGAAGAAGGAGAAGUUUACACCCAAAUAUCUAAGGAAGAUUGACCCCUUUGAGAGAUUUAACUGGAACUGGACCCCUUCCAUUGGUAAGUCUGGUGGUAUCCUUUGUGUAAUCAGAAAAGAAACCUUGGAUACUGUGUCUUGGGUGGUAGGUAAUUACCUACUACAGGCUACCAUCUAUGAUACUAAACUCAAAUGUGUUUGGACCCUUGUGGUAGUUUAUGGGGCAGCACAUGAUAAGAAGAGGGAUAAAUUCCUUGAUGAGCUAACCUCAUGUUGUGGAAACAUUAAAACUCCUUAUGUGAUUGGUGGUGACUUCAAUAUCCUACGGGAUAGUAGUGACAAAAACAAGCCCCUCCAUAGAUCGCAGCACAUGGAUAGAUUUAACAAUAUCAUCCAUUCACUGAGCCUUAGAGAAAUUCAUAUGGGAGGAGGCAGGUUCACUUGGACCAAUAAAUAG
rnacentral:rRNA from 1 species